ACGAUUUAGACUUUUCCUCACGUUAUCACCCAAUUAUACAUUUGAUUAUGAACAAUCUCUUUUCGUAUCUCUU